rnacentral:rRNA from 1 species
GACGAACGCUGGCGGCGUGCCUAAUACAUGCAAGUAGAACGCUGAAGGAGGAGCUUGCUUCUCUGGAUGAGUUGCGAACGGGUGAGUAACGCGUAGGUAACCUGCCUGGUAGCGGGGGAUAACUAUUGGAAACGAUAGCUAAUACCGCAUAAGAGUAGAUGUUGCAUGACAUUUGCUUAAAAGGUGCAAUUGCAUCACUACCAGAUGGACCUGCGUUGUAUUAGCUAGUUGGUGGGGUAACGGCUCACCAAGGCGACGAUACAUAGCCGACCUGAGAGGGUGAUCGGCCACACCGGGACUGAGACACGGCCCAGACUCCUACGGGAGGCAGCAGUAGGGAAUCUUCGGCAAUGGACGGAAGUCUGACCGAGCAACGCCGCGGGAGUGAAGAAGGUUUUCGGAUCGUAAAGCUCUGUUGUAAGAGAAGAACGAGUGUGAGAGUGGAAAGUUCACACUGUGACGGUAUCUUACCAGAAAGGGACGGCUAACUACGUG